rnacentral:rRNA from 1 species
CUUUUUUUUGUGGGGGAAGAAACCGCCUUAUGGGGGGGAAGCACUUUUGGCCCCUUUUGAAAACCGCUUCUCUAAUACCGAGGCGGUAUGACGGUACCGGAAGAAUAAGCACCGGCUAACUCCGUGCCAGCAGCCGCGGUAAUACGUAGGGUGCAAGCGUUAAUCGGAAUUACUGGGCGUAAAGCGUGCGCAGGYGGUUCGCUAAGACCGAUGUGAAAUCCCCGGGCUUAACCUGGGAACUGCAUUGGUGACUGGCGGGCUAGAGUAUGGCAGAGGGGGGUAGAAUUCCCCGUGUAGCGGUGAAAUGCGUAGAUAUGUGAAGGAAUACCGAUGGCGAAGGCAACCCCCUGGGCCGAUACUGACGCUCAUGCACGAAAGCGUGGGGAGCAAACAGGAUUAGAUACCCUGGUAGUCCACGCCCUAAACGAUGUCAACUAGUUGUCGGGUCUUCAUUGACUUGUUAACGAAGCUAUCACGUGUAGUUGACCGCCUGGGGAGAACCGUCGCAAGAUUAAAACUCAAAGGAAUUGACGGGG